rnacentral:rRNA from 1 species
UACGGGGGGGGCAAGCGUUGUUCGGAAUUACUGGCGUAAAGGGCUCGUAGGUGGCCAACUAAGUCAGACGUGAAAUCCCUCGGCUUAACCGGGGAACUGCGUCUGAUACUGGAUGGCUUGAGUUUGGGAGAGGGAUGCGGAAUUCCAGGUGUAGCGGUGAAAUGCGUAGAUAUCUGGAGGAACACCGGUGGCGAAGGCGGCAUCCUGGACCGGUAUUGACGCUGAGGAGCGAAAGCCAGGGGAGCAAACGGG